rnacentral:tRNA from 1 species
UGUUUCUGACAGGGCUCGAACCUGGGACCUUCCGCGUGUUAGGCGGAUGUGAUAACCACUACACCACAAAAAC